rnacentral:rRNA from 1 species
GGGUUGUGAGGUUAAGCGACUAAGCGUACACGGUGGAUGCCCUGGCAGUCAGAGGCGAUGAAGGACGUGCUAAUCUGCGAUAAGCGUCGGUGAGGUGAUAUGAACCGUUAUAACCGGCGAUUUCCGAAUGGGGAAACCCAGUGUGAUUCGUCACACUAUCAUUAACUGAAUCCAUAGGUUAAUGAGGCGAACCGGGGGAACUGAAACAUCUAAGUACCCCGAGGAAAAGAAAUCAACCGAGAUUCCCCAGUAGCGGCGAGCGAACGGGGAGGAGCCCAGAGCCUGAAUCAGUGUGUGUGUUAGUGGAAGCGUCUGGAAAGGCGCGCGAUACAGGGUGACAGCCCCGUACACAAAAAUGCACAUAUUGUGAGCUCGAUGAGUAGGGCGGGACACGUGGUAUCCUGUCUGAAUAUGGGGGGACCAUCCUCCAAGGCUAAAUACUCCUGACUGACCGAUAGUGAACCAGUACCGUGAGGGAAAGGCGAAAAGAACCCCGGCGAGGGGAGUGAAAAAGAACCUGAAACCGUGUACGUACAAGCAGUGGGAGCCUCUUAAUGGGGUGACUGCGUACCUUUUGUAUAAUGGGUCAGCGACUUAUAUUCUGUAGCAAGGUUAACCGAAUAGGGGAGCCGAAGGGAAACCGAGUCUUAACUGGGCGUUAAGUUGCAGGGUAUAGACCCGAAACCCGGUGAUCUAGCCAUGGGCAGGUUGAAGGUUGGGUAACACUAACUGGAGGACCGAACCGACUAAUGUUGAAAAAUUAGCGGAUGACUUGUGGCUGGGGGUGAAAGGCCAAUCAAACCGGGAGAUAGCUGGUUCUCCCCGAAAGCUAUUUAGGUAGCGCCUCGUGAAUUCAUCUCCGGGGGUAGAGCACUGUUUCGGCAAGGGGGUCAUCCCGACUUACCAACCCGAUGCAAACUGCGAAUACCGGAGAAUGUUAUCACGGGAGACACACGGCGGGUGCUAACGUCCGUCGUGAAGAGGGAAACAACCCAGACCGCCAGCUAAGGUCCCAAAGUCAUGGUUAAGUGGGAAACGAUGUGGGAAGGCCCAGACAGCCAGGAUGUUGGCUUAGAAGCAGCCAUCAUUUAAAGAAAGCGUAAUAGCUCACUGGUCGAGUCGGCCUGCGCGGAAGAUGUAACGGGGCUAAACCAUGCACCGAAGCUGCGGCAGCGACACUAUGUGUUGUUGGGUAGGGGAGCGUUCUGUAAGCCUGUGAAGGUGGCCUGUGAGGGUUGCUGGAGGUAUCAGAAGUGCGAAUGCUGACAUAAGUAACGAUAAAGCGGGUGAAAAGCCCGCUCGCCGGAAGACCAAGGGUUCCUGUCCAACGUUAAUCGGGGCAGGGUGAGUCGACCCCUAAGGCGAGGCCGAAAGGCGUAGUCGAUGGGAAACAGGUUAAUAUUCCUGUACUUGGUGUUACUGCGAAGGGGGACGGAGAAGGCUAUGUUGGCCGGGCGACGGUUGUCCCGGUUUAAGCGUGUAGGCUGGUUUUCCAGGCAAAUCCGGAAAAUCAAGGCUGAGGCGUGAUGACGAGGCACUACGGUGCUGAAGCGACAAAUGCCCUGCUUCCAGGAAAAGCCUCUAAGCAUCAGGUAACAUCAAAUCGUACCCCAAACCGACACAGGUGGUCAGGUAGAGAAUACCAAGGCGCUUGAGAGAACUCGGGUGAAGGAACUAGGCAAAAUGGUGCCGUAACUUCGGGAGAAGGCACGCUGAUAUGUAGGUGAAGCGACUUGCUCGUGGAGCUGAAAUCAGUCGAAGAUACCAGCUGGCUGCAACUGUUUAUUAAAAACACAGCACUGUGCAAACACGAAAGUGGACGUAUACGGUGUGACGCCUGCCCGGUGCCGGAAGGUUAAUUGAUGGGGUUAGCGGUAACGCGAAGCUCUUGAUCGAAGCCCCGGUAAACGGCGGCCGUAACUAUAACGGUCCUAAGGUAGCGAAAUUCCUUGUCGGGUAAGUUCCGACCUGCACGAAUGGCGUAAUGAUGGCCAGGCUGUCUCCACCCGAGACUCAGUGAAAUUGAACUCGCUGUGAAGAUGCAGUGUACCCGCGGCAAGACGGAAAGACCCCGUGAACCUUUACUAUAGCUUGACACUGAACAUUGAGCCUUGAUGUGUAGGAUAGGUGGGAGGCUUUGAAGUGUGGACGCCAGUCUGCAUGGAGCCGACCUUGAAAUACCACCCUUUAAUGUUUGAUGUUCUAACGUGGGCCCCUUACCGGGGUUGCGGACAGUGUCUGGUGGGUAGUUUGACUGGGGCGGUCUCCUCCUAAAGAGUAACGGAGGAGCACGAAGGUUGGCUAAUCCUGGUCGGACAUCAGGAGGUUAGUGCAAUGGCAUAAGCCAGCUUGACUGCGAGCGUGACGGCGCGAGCAGGUGCGAAAGCAGGUCAUAGUGAUCCGGUGGUUCUGAAUGGAAGGGCCAUCGCUCAACGGAUAAAAGGUACUCCGGGGAUAACAGGCUGAUACCGCCCAAGAGUUCAUAUCGACGGCGGUGUUUGGCACCUCGAUGUCGGCUCAUCACAUCCUGGGGCUGAAGUAGGUCCCAAGGGUAUGGCUGUUCGCCAUUUAAAGUGGUACGCGAGCUGGGUUUAGAACGUCGUGAGACAGUUCGGUCCCUAUCUGCCGUGGGCGCUGGAGAACUGAGGGGGGCUGCUCCUAGUACGAGAGGACCGGAGUGGACGCAUCACUGGUGUUCGGGUUGUCAUGCCAAUGGCACUGCCCGGUAGCUAAAUGCGGAAGAGAUAAGUGCUGAAAGCAUCUAAGCACGAAACUUGCCCCGAGAUGAGUUCUCCCUGACUCCUUGAGAGUCCUGAAGGAACGUUGAAGACGACGACGUUGAUAGGCCGGGUGUGUAAGCGCAGCGAUGCGUUGAGCUAACCGGUACUAAUGAACCGUGAGGCUUAACCUUACAACGCCGAAG